UUUUUUUGCCUAUAUAUCAUUACCCAUUAAUCGCCAAAACACUUCCGGUAACUGCGAAACGCUUCCAAUUUCUCUCGAAACUAUUUCUAUUAUUCCCGAAACUAUUCUGAGAAUAUUUUCUCAUAUUCCUCACCACUAAUACUCAGCAGAUCGAAAUUCCCUGAAGCAUGUGACCCUGUAGGUUCGGUAGAAUAUAGACACAAACAAAACUUCCUUUCAUUCCAUGAUCAACAUCGGAACCAUGGACAUCAUGUUGACCCCUAUACCCACAAGAAUGAUAUUGGAGUUAACCUUUGGUUAUCAUAUGUUAUUCCCUUUGCUUCACGAUAUGUUACAAAACCCGUGGUGAGAUAUAUCGGCAUCCUCUUGAGUAAUUCUCAUGCUCAUUAUACCGAUCUCCUCAUUGUCGAUUUUGUUCUUUUUUCUCGUUGACAUGUUCUGGCAUCCCUAUGACCUAGUCACAUGUCUCUGGCCAGACGAUGAUGGAUGUUGUCACACCGAGAGUGCCCUAAGAAUAUCUCUCCAUCGUCGGAGGAUCAAAUCCCGUUCUUGAGCUAUCUAGCCCCUUGGCACACUUUUCGAUGAACCUGGAAGUUCUCGUUAUGAUCACCGUGUUACCAAUGACGUUUGAGAAACCCCAAAGUUUAUGGUCUGGUAUGAAGUGACUACAAUACUCUCAUGGUCUAAGUAACUAAAGCACACAUUAACUCUCUGUGUUAUAACUCAAAGACUUGUGAUGAUAACAUCUUAAAGUAUAACAAACAAGUUGGCUCUAGGGCUACGCAUAACUCAUAGUCUUGGUCUACCUGGCUAUUCUACAGUUAAGUUUAGUGGCAGGAGGGUUAGACUGGGUCUUGCGGGUAAAGUACACAAACGUCUUGAGAGUGUAAAAACUGAUUAUGAUUAGCCACGCCCUCGGUUAUGAACAACUUUAAGUAACUUAGCCAGGAGUUGUCUUGAAGAUCUCAUCACCAUUUCUCUAAGUAAAACUUGUUGGGUUGAACAUGGGUAUAGGCCUCUAGUAGGAAGCAACUGAUGGUGGGGCCCUCCACUAGGUUGGAGCCAACAGGUCUGGGGCCCCUCCACUGCUAAUAUGUGAUGUGGUAUGUCUAGUAUAUUAGAGUAGGUCCACCUAUUACAAAGAUGGAUAAAACCUAUAUUGCUUUCUGCAAAGAAAACCAACCAACACUUACCCUAAAAGCAUGGUUGGGUUUGUUAUACUUAUUGGUGAAGCUUGCGAGUACAUUCAAUGUAUUGAACCUUGUGGUUGCAACGUAGCAUGUUGCAUGACUUAUGCAUAAUGAGCAAGGAUUAUGAACUAGGCUUACGAUUCUAUACUCCACUUGUACCUGUGAGUGGAUGGACAUAACAAGAUAAUAUUGUAUUUUGUUGUAUUUUAUUGUAAGCUAGCCUUGAGCUAAGUAGAUACGUAAUGUAAUAAAGACUAGAUCAGCAAUGUAAUACUCAUGACAUGUGGUUAUCUUAAUAUUUGAUCGUGUAAUGUGUGUGCUAGCAAUUGAUCUAGCUUGUGACUAGCACAAAAGCGCAAAUAGUCUGUUUUCUUAUCAGGGACCGGGUCGCUACAAGCAGAGUACCACUGUGUAGCAAAUACAAUGGCUGAAUGUUUUUGACUCCGGCAGAUACUCGUCAAACUCCAUUGCUCCAUCAACAAGGUAAUUGUUGUCUUCUGCGACAAUGUAUCUACCAUAUACCUCUACAUCAACCCCGUUCAUCAUCAACGUACACAUUGAGUUAGACAUUCACUUCGUACGCGAAAAGGUCUCUCUCUUGGACAGUUCCGUGUCGCUCAUGUGCCUACUCCGGGACAGCUUACAGAUAUCAUGACGAAAGGGCUACCGUCGGCAAGCUUUGAAGGAUUUCGUUCCAGCCUUGGCAUCAUCUCUGAUGACCUGCGACUGCUUGGGUGGUGUGAGAGAAGAUAACGAUGGGGCUCCAUAUUGCAUGCGUUUCUCCGUACCAAUCCUAUAUCUUCAUUGUUACGUACAAUCUUGCAUAGAUUCUUUAGUUUCUUUAUUAAAAACCGUGAUUUUUUUUAGGUGUCAAAAACCGUGAUUAGAUUUAGAGAUUAGGUGGGUUGUACAAUGGGCUGGGCAAUUCCCAAACCUACACGGACGAGCACGUGGAAGUGGGAAGGCCCAAGGCCAAGCAACCCAACUAACUCCCACUUGGGGCGGAUUGGUUGGUAGCAAUGGUAGGUAGACGUGUCGCUCGCUCCCAUCUCCUAUCCGCGCAUUCGUGGCCAUCCAUCCUCCCGUCCAAUGGACCUAACCCCGUCCUCCCAACGGCCAGCUUUCCCUUACUUACCCACCCUUCCCGCCUAUAUAUCCCGUCGCCCGCACUCUCAUGGCACCACAACACACCACGCCAGUACAAGCGGCGCCUGUCAUUUGUCUACCACUCUGCUAGCUGCUUCCCUCUGCGUCCGGCGAACUUAGACGUCACACAGCCGGCCACUGGUGCGACAACUCCUAGCUCGUCGGCCGCUGGUACGUGCCUACGUAGAUCCAUCGAUGGCGGCCACCAUGACCGUGGAGGAGGUGAGGAAGGCGCAGCGGGCGGAGGGGCCGGCCACCGUGCUCGCCAUCGGCACGGCGACGCCCGCGAACUGCGUGUACCAGGCCGACUACCCGGACUACUACUUCAAGAUCACCAAGAGCGACCACAUGGCCGACCUCAAGGAGAAGUUCAAGAGGAUGUGUAAGUCUAUGUUCACCGUCUCUGUGUUCGGGCGUGCAUGCACGGCUUGUUUCCCAUAACGGCGCUACUAUACAGUAAUAUACAUGUGUCUGCAUGGAUGUCAAUAUUUUACUCCUUAUAUUAAUUCCCGUAAACUUUUGUUGAUAGUUAGAAAAUAAGUACUGGGAGGCACAUCGAUCACUAGCAAUAAGCCAAGUACUAGCCAUGGAUCGGAGUAGCAUAUAUACGUGAAACGACGAACACAAUAAGCAUGGCCAUGAAAACUGGGUAACGGCCGCACACGCCGAACCUGUUGUCCAUUUAACUGUUUAUUCUAUUUUUAGCUGCAAGUGUUUAUAUUAAUUCCCGUAUACUUUUUUUUGUGAAAUAUGUAUACUCCUGCACGUAAUUCUUUUUUGAUAACCCUGCACGUGGGUAGCACACUCGAGUGUCUCGCCUCCUACUCCCUCCAUUCCUAAAUAUAAAUAUUUGUAGAGAUUUCAUUAUGAACCACAUAAGGAUGUAUAUGGAUGCAUUUUAGAGUGUAUAUUCACUCAUUUCGCUCCGUAUGUAGUCCAUAGAAGAAUCUCCACAAAGCCUUAUAUUUACGAAUGGAAGGAGUACAUAUCAGUAGCAUGCAUGCAUGUUUAAAGGUCAACACUCAACAGUGUUACAGUGGAUCGGUUAACCUACGAACGGGUUGAUUACAGAACGUGUUUAUAUGUGGACUAAUUUCCUUAGAUGCACCAAAAUUAAUUACCGGUUGGUCGAACAAUAUGUUCCCAUAUCUCAUGUAUUUAAUUUUUUCAGUUGAAGCAUUUAAAUAGAAAACAAAACUGAUUUUCAGAAGAAAACAACGACAACGGUUUUUUUUUACAGGGUAAAGGGAGUUUUAUUCCAUAUAGUGACAAGAUUGCACUCCUAAUUAAUACAAGAUCGUGAGUUGACAAUGAUUUGCAAAAUAUCUAAUAGUAGUAUUGCGUUGAUUUCCUGAAAAGAAUAUCAGUUUUACAAAAAAUAGACAUGUUUGCAUGAACCGCCAAAAAACUAAUAAUUUCCAAAGACAAGCAAUUAAUCCAGAAUGUCACUACCGGACGCGAUUAUGACUUGACACUGUACCUAGAACUUUUCUUUUGAGUGCACUCUGUACCUAGAACUAGUGGGCCACUCGACAAAGAAAGUACCAGCAAGUACUGGAAACAUGAGCGAAUCCUUGAGUUGACUUGAGAGCUAAUCUCUACAUUAGUUUCUUCAAAUAGAAAUUAACCUCCUACAUUAAAGAGAGAGAGAAACCCAAAUGUAGACAUCGCUUGCACACCUAAUUAACCCAUGAAUACUUGUCUCCUGUCUGGUUUGCCUUUUCUUGGUCUGGAC
rnacentral:lncRNA from 1 species